AAAGAAAAUGCCUAGUAGUUAAUUUGAACACUUACAAAAUAAGGGGAUGUUUUUCAGAGAAUGUCUGCUUUUUUUCCAGCAAAUCUAACUUUCUUUUGUGGUUGAGGUUAAAUAAGCCUAAUCCAAUACCAAUACUGUUGCUUGGCUCAGAUUUCAUGAACAUGGAACCCUAGAAGGGGGAAGACCCUGGACCUGGAUGCUGCUAGUAGGGUCCAAGGAUGCUGACUGCCUUCUUUUUCAGGCCUUCAUCAAAUGAGCUGAUUAAAUGGAUGGGUUUUAUUCUAAGAUGACGUGAGCACUCCAUGCUUUGCUUUUGGCAGUGCAGAGUGAUACAUUCUUUUUGGAUGGCAAUCUGGCCAAAUAUAUUAAAGGCCUUAAAAAUGUUCAUUCCAAAACAAGAACAAACUAACCUCAAAGCUAGGAGAAGAAAAGAAAUAACUAAAAUCAGAUCAGAACUGAAUGGAAUCAAGAUUCAAAAAUCCAUACAAAGAACCAAUGAAACAAAAAGUUGGAUCUUUGAAAGACCGCUAUCGGUCUUGCACACUAUCACAAGACCGAUAGCGUGCUAGCUACAUUAACAAAGAAAAAAAGGAUGAUCCAAAUAAGCACAUUCAGAAAGGACAAAGGUGACAUUACAACCAAUCCCACAGAAAUACAAAAGUUCCUCAGAGACCACUAUGAACAUCUGUAUGCAUACAGACAAGAAAAUCUACAGAAAAUGGAUAAAUUCCUGGAAAUACAACCUCCAAAGAUUGAGUCAAGAAGCAACUGAAACCCCAAAUAGACAAUAUUGAGUUUUGAAAUUGAAUCAGUAAUAAAAAAAUCUAACACUCAAAAAAAAAAAAAAAAAAAAUUCUGGGAC